rnacentral:rRNA from 1 species
UACGAAGGGUGCAAGCGUUAAUCGGAAUUACUGGGCGUAAAGCGUGCGUAGGCGGUUUGUUAAGUCUGCUGUGAAAUCCCCGGGCUCAACCUGGGAAUGGCAGUGGAUACUGGCAAGCUAGAGUGUGUCAGAGGAUGGUGGAAUUCCCGGUGUAGCGGUGAAAUGCGUAGAGAUCGGGAGGAACACCAGUGGCGAAGGCGGCAAGCUGGAUGGGCACUGACACUCGAACUGCGAAAGCGUGGGGAGCAAACAGG